rnacentral:rRNA from 1 species
GACGAAGGUGGCAAGCGUUGUUCGGAAUCACUGGGCUUAAAGGGCGCGUAGGCGGCCUGUUCCGCGCCGGGUGAAAUCCCUCGGCUCAACCGAGGAAUGGCUCGGCGAACAAACAGGCUUGAGGCAGGUAAGGGCGUGAGGAACGCUUGGUGGAGCGGUGAAAUGCGUAGAUAUCAAGCGGAACGCCGGUGGUGAAGACGUCACGCUGGGCCUGUCCUGACGCUGAGGCGCGAAAGCCAGGGGAUCAAACGGG